rnacentral:rRNA from 1 species
AGAACGAACGCUGGCGGCAUGCCUAAUACAUGCAAGUCGAACGAACUCUUCGGAGUUAGUGGCGCACGGGUGCGUAACGCGUGGGAAUCUGCCCUUGGGUUCGGAAUAACAGUUGGAAACGACUGCUAAUACCGGAUGAUGACGAAAGUCCAAAGAUUUAUCGCCCAGGGAUGAGCCCGCGUAGGAUUAGCUGGUUGGUGAGGUAAGGCUCA